UUUUAUUAAAGGGCCGCAGUAUUCUAACUGUGCAAAGGUAGCAUAAUCGUUAGUUCUUUAAUUGGGAUCUUGUAUGAAUGAUUAGACAAAAGUAUUACUGUCUUUAUAGUAAAAAUUGAAUUUAACCUUUAAGUGAAAAGGCUUAAAUUAUUUAGAGUGACGAUAAGACCCUAUAAAGCAUUUUAUUGGGGUGAUAGAAGUAAAAUUAAUAACUGCUUUAUGUUAAAACAAUUAUAAGUGAAAUGAUCCUAUAGUGUGGAGUAUAAGAUUAAGUUACUUUAGGGAUAACAGCGUAAUUUUUUUUAAGAGUUCUUAUCGAAAAAAAAGAUUGCGACCUCGAUGUUGAAUUAAAAUAUCUAUAUAAUUGUAGGAGUUAUAUUAAAAGGUCUGUUCGACCUUUAAAUUUUU
rnacentral:rRNA from 1 species